UGGGGAAUAUUGCACAAUGGGCGAAAGCCUGAUGCAGCGACGCCGCGUGAGGGAUGACGGCCUUCGGGUUGUAAACCUCUCUCAGCAGGGAAGAAGCGAAAGUGACGGUACCUGCAGAAGAAGCGCCGGCUAACUACGUGCCAGCAGCCGCGGUAAUACGUAGGGCGCAAGCGUUGUCCGGAAUUAUUGGGCGUAAAGAGCUCGUAGGCGGUUAGUCGCGUCUGCUGUGAAAACUCGAGGCUCAACCUCGGGCUUGCAGUGGGUACGGGCUGACUAGAGUGCGGUAGGGGUGACUGGAAUUCCUGGUGUAGCGGUGGAAUGCGCAGAUAUCAGGAGGAACACCGAUGGCGAAGGCAGGUCACUGGGCCGCAACUGACGCUGAGGAGCGAAAGCAUGGGGAGCGAACAGGAUUAGAUACCCUGGUAGCCCAUGCCGUAAACGUUGGGCACUAGGUGUGGGGUCCAUUCCACGGAUUCCGUGCCGCAGCAAACGCAUUAAGUGCCCCGCCUGGGGAGUACGGCCGCAAGGCUAAAACUCAAAUGAAUUGACGGGGUCAUAGCUGUUUCCU
rnacentral:rRNA from 1 species